rnacentral:rRNA from 1 species
UACGAGGGGGCUAGCGUUGUUCGGAAUCACUGGGCGUAAAGGGCGCGUAGGCGGCUUUAUAAGUCGGGGGUGAAAGCCUGUGGCUCAACCACAGAAUUGCCUUCGAUACUGUAGAGCUUGAGGAAGGUAGAGGUGGGCGGAACUGAUGGUGGAGCGGUGAAAUGCGUUGAUACUCAUCAGGAACACCGGAGGCGAAGGCGGCCCACUGGGUCUUUUCUGACGCUGAGGGACGAAAGCUAGGGGAGCGAACGGG